CAAAUUCUACCGCCGGGUAGGAAUGCGAACGCAUUCGCCGCACAUCGAUAGGUCUUUGAAGAUGUGCCGCGAAUGCUUAUUUUUUG
rnacentral:ncRNA from 1 species